AUGCUUCUUUAUCCAAGAGAACUAACGGGAAAGGAACAUGAUUUUCUGGUUUAUAUUCGGUAGGGGAACUUGAACUGAUGGAUAAAAGGUUUCUUUCAGGUAUUUCAUAGUUGGGACUCUCAUUACUGCAAUCAUGAUAAGUCUUUAGUCUCUUGUUUUUUUGUUCUUCCUUAUGAUGAUCUAACAGCCAACAUUCUUUUGACAAGGUUUCACCAGAAGCUUUAGAAAUAGACUCUUGCAGGAAAGUGUGUUUCAUACUGGACCCCAUAUCACAGCUGAAAAUUUCCCCUUGCAUAUUGUUUUCCUGUGGAAGGUCAAUAAGUCCAGCUUUAAAAUCUAU
rnacentral:lncRNA from 1 species